UUUAGUUCAAAAGCUAUAAUACUGGAAACAUCCACGCGUGUAAUGACAACUGCUGGAACAGCAAUCUCAGCUAUAACUAUGCCUGGCUUUAAUGUCUGCUGUUGAAAUCACAGUGUCUCAAACAGAAACUACUAUGGUGCUCUUGGCACCAAUUCUGCAGAAACUACAACCCUAGGCACCACUUUUACUGAAACCGUUAAUUCAACAGGAAAAUGUAUGGAAAUAUACACACCAGUAAGGACAACUGCUCGAACAAUCACGUCUGAAACUACUCCUGGCUUAACAUCUGUUGAAGCCACAAUGGCUCUGAAAAGUCUCACUUAUAUGGAAACUGUUUUCCUGGGCACGACUUAUCCAGAAACUACUACAAUCUCGACAGUCUCUUCGAAAACUACAACUUCUGCAGUAGGUGAAUUAGCUUUGUUUGUGGUCACAAUGGCCACAACGGAGGCUGCAGAUUUAAAGAUGUAUGGUGUAUGAACGGAACUGUUUUUCAGUUGUUCAUGUUUAUCUAAGGAACAAGCAUACCAUUGAUCGUGCCACUUCUAACAAGAUGAGACAAGCAGAUGAUGGACAACGAGAUAAGGACAAGGUCUUGUGGUAUUCCCUAAAGACUGCAACUCUGCUGCAGAUACUGAUCUAUGUGCUCAUGCUUCUUAAUAAUAUGGGAAUGUAAAUGCAAACAAAAAGAAACAUUUAAGCAUUUGAAGAGGCUUCUGACAAAAUAUAUUGAAUAUUUUAUAUUUGUUGCAAUUGAAAAUGUGUUUUAUAGUCUGUGUAAUGUAAAUAUCACUAUAUUAAAUGAAUAAAAGAUUUUCACUA